GAUGAACGCUGGCGGCGUGCCUAAUACAUGCAAGUCGAGCGAACAGGUGAGGCGCUUGCUCCUCGGACGUUAGCGGAGGAGGGGAGAGUAACACGUGGAUACCCUACCUAUAAGACUGGGAUAACUUCGGGAAACCGGCGCUAAUACCGGAUAAUAUAUUGAACCGCAUGGUUGAAUGGUGAAAGACGGUGUUGCUGUAACUUCUCGCGGGUUCUCGGCCGGAUUAGCUAGUUGUUAAGUUCACGGCUUACCAAGGCAACGAUGCGUAGCCGACCUGAGAGGGUGAUCGGCGGCCCUGGAAGGGAGACACGGACCAGAGGCCUAAGGGAGGCAGCAGUAUGGAAUCUGCCGCAGUGGGCGAAAGCAUGACGGAGCAACGCGGCGUGAGUGAUGAAGGUCUUCGGAUCGUAAAACUCUGUUAUGAGGGAAGAACAAAUGUGUAAGUAGCUGUGCAGGUCGUGACGGUACCGAAUCAGAAAGCCACGGCUAACUACGUG
rnacentral:rRNA from 1 species